ensembl:lncRNA
CCCAAAGCCCCCCGGUACAUAGUUGUAUAUUCUUCGUUGUGGGUCCUUCUAGUUGUGGCAUGUGGGACGCUGCCUCAGCGUGGUUUGAUGAGCAGUGCCAUGUCCGCGCCCAGGAUUCGAACCAACGAAACACUGGGCCGCCUGCAGCGGAGCGCGCGAACUUAACCACUCGGCCACGGGGCCAGCCCCUCUCUUUCUUCUUUUUUUAGUGGUUAAAUAAUUGAUAAGAUUAUCAACAGCGUGUUGAUUACAAAUAACGAGAGAGAUGCUAGAGGUGGUGAAUUUUCCAAAUGGGGAACCACGAUACACAAUGGAAGGGCCCAGGGGUCCAGCCACCUGUAAAUAAACGGAGUUGGGGGCAAGGGGCCAGGGCUGUUCCUGCUGCUUCUUGACAGAAAUCCCCUUCUCCCUUGCCACCAGCAUCUCAUAGAUGGGGUCCACAGUCACUGCUGCCUGGAUGGACUUGCUCCAUUUGUCCUUCUCCUCCUAUGGGGCUGAGACCUGUACACCAUGUGGUUCUCCUCAACCACCCAGCCAUCUGCCUCCAUUUUCCUGGCUUUGAUGAGCUAUCCCUCGUUUUGGGGAAUGUAAAGCUCAAAGCAGGAAGGUUUCUGGGGGUCAUCCAGCUCUAGGCUGCUCAGAUUCUCCAGGAGUAUGAUUCCUCUGGCUCCUUGUCCAUCAUGCACUCAAAAUAGUAGAGGCAGUUGUGGGUAAGGAUAACCCAGAGCAGCUUCCAUGUCUUCACGCAGAGCCCUCCCAGCUUAAGGAGCCAGCCUUCCCGGUCUGGGUUAAAGAAGCUGUGGGUCGGAUCAUUUCCAUCAUCCUCAGGAAUCUGGAAGGGCUCAUUUCAGGUUCUGUCCUAGAGGUUCCUGAGCAGCUCCUCAAGCUGGUCCUGCCCUUGUUGAUUGCCCUGGUUCAUGGCCACAAAGUGCUCCAGGCCCAGCUUGUCCCAGACGUUGGGAUUGUAAAGGCUGGUGGUGCUCAGCAUGAUCAUGGUGAAAGACAGCACGUAGGACAUGCUUGUGGACUGGAAAACCCCAGGGCUGCACAGACAGUAUGGCUGGGCGAAGGCUUCUAUCAUCCAGUCAAUCUCCUGGGCCUCUCCAGGGAGGCGGGAAGCUCCAUAGAAAUUGCCUGAGGGCCUGCACCAAAUUGAGGUCGGUAAACUCACGCAGAUUCACAAAAUCGUGGAGCAUUGCCAGGUUCAGCUCUUCCCUCUCCCCUACGUAAUCCCCAAGGCUGUCUUGUUCAGGCCCUUGCCGUUGUAAAGGAAAGGGGCAAGCUCGUUGGGUAUCUUCUGGAGAAGUUCAUUAUCCAGCAAGAAGUGGAUCCCCUUCUUGGGGUCCAUGUUGAAGUUCUUCCUGCCCAUUGCCCGUUGCCCGUUGCCAGGUUCUACUGCCUUCAUUGGCCUCCAGACUCCACCUGGCUCAGGGCUUCGCUGAGCUCCUCCUGCAGGUGCUGGAUCUCCACCAGCAGCUCCUGCUUCCGUGGCCGCACAUUCUCCAGCUCCAUCCGCUCCUCCAGAGUCAGGUCUGGGGGCUCAUAGAUUCAUCCUCCAUGGUGGCUAGAAAGCCAACAAGAAGUCCAGGGUGGUCCUAUCUGUCUAGCCUGGAGCGUGUUGGCCCGUAGGCUCAAGUCAAUCCACUCAAAGGCCUGGGAACCACCGCCGCCUCUGUGCCAGAUCUCAGCGCUGAAAAGACACUCGCUUGGCCUCCAAACUGCCCUGCCAGUAGGGAGUUUUGCAUCUGUAAGUGAGAUUGGUUGAUAGUUUUCUUAUAGAAAGGAAAAAAACAAAAACUGUAUAGCAGGCUAUAGUGGAGAAGAUGGAAUAGC